rnacentral:sRNA from 1 species
UGCAUUCGCAUCUAUGGUAGGAAGCGUUGGGAGUUACGCUUUUUAAAGGUAUGGUGCGUAAAAGAUCAAAUGCGCUUUGGACGCUCAAACUCUGUAAAAUCC